rnacentral:lncRNA from 1 species
UGAAGGUUCUUAUGCCGCAUACGUAUUCGACCUCUACAAGUAUCCACUGGGAUCAAUCUCAAAUCUUUUUUUAUUAUAGAUCCAUCUACUUCAAGAUUAAUCUCAAUCUUUUGGAUCUUUGAUCAACUCUUGAUCUUUGACCGCGAUCUCAACACUUGAACUGCUGUCUUUCUCCCUAUUCCUUGCUUUGGAAGAGAUCACCCUCAACUUGGACAUGUGGGAAGGUGGGAUGCCCAACCCUUGGGCAUUGAAAAGAGAGGAAGAAGAAGAGAUGGCAUGG